rnacentral:lncRNA from 13 species
UGGUGUUUUAAGACCCCUAAUUUGUGGUACUUUGUGAUGGCAGCCAUAGAAAACUGAUACAUUAAGUUAUUGGUCUGCUCAGGCUGCCAUCACAAAAGACCACAGACUGGGUAACUUAACGGAAAUUUAUUUUCUCACAGUUCUGGAGACUGGAAUCCAAGAUCAAGGUGCCAGCAUGGUCUGGUCCCGGUGAGGGCUGUCUUCACAGUUGGCUUUCGCAGUGUCCGCGUGUGAGGAGCAGGUUGAAAAGAUAUGCUGCCUCUCUUAGGAGUCAAUUACAGUCAAUGACAUCAUAACGGCGAGGCCACAAUUACCUCUUAAAGGUCCAGUCUCCAAAUGCAGUCCCAACAGGAGACAUCGACCUCUCUUUACCAUCCAAACAGGAAACACUCAGACAACCAGAAAUGGAUAAAGAGAAGAGGAUUUUUUGGGAAAAGGAAAAAGAAGAAUUGCAUAAAAUAUACUGGAAAGGAAAACGUUUUGAAAUGUAUGUUAGCUAUUGAUAUUGGCAUUGAUUUGUUCUGGGAGUGUUCUGCAGUUCUUAUACAGGACCCAAAAGGAUGAUCCAUAUGAGGCAAUCGUAACCACAAAGCUGACCUUGGCUGUCUUCCUGGUGAAGCCAGAUGGGAGUGCUGAGCUUCAGGGAGCAGCUAUACAAAGUUAAUUGUGCACAGCAAAGACUUAUAGAGUAAGUGGUCCCUCCAAUAAAGUUUCCUGAUUCUGUCCA